rnacentral:sRNA from 1 species
UAUCUGCAGAGGGAACGGCUUAGCCGUUUAAUUGAGUGGUACCGCGAAAUAGCCCUUCGUCUCA